UUUUUUUAUGACUAGGGGGGUCGUGGUGUGAUCCUACAGAUUGUUUAUGAUAAUGAGUGUCUGCGGGGGUGUUAAUUGCUUUACGACACACCCUACAAUAGGUAUGCUUUAUGUUUAAAAGUACGGUCAGUUACGCAGAAGUCUCUAAGAUCGCGGCCGUGUAUCAGAGCGCUGUGUAAUUUUAGGCGAAUCGUCGAUUCUCGUUUUAACUCACCUUUAAAGCUUUAUAUUUUAUUUUUGAGAAUACUUCAAAGAGGAGAUGGCUGUCUGUCGUAACAGUAAGUGUUUUGUUUUAUUAUUAUUAUUAUUAUUAUUACUAUUAUUAUUAUUAUUACACGUAGUUAAGAAUGUUUUUAUUUAUAAACGAAUUUAUGGGUUUAUUGUGGUGAAUAAAACAGGUAUCUAACGCUACAGGUGUUGAUGAUAUUGUGUCUAUCCCGGACAUCGUAGACGAAAUCAGGUUUCUGAACAAGGCAAGCGGGUCGAACACAGAAGUCCCGCGAGUCAGGUUUGAAAACCCCGUGCUGGGCUUGUCAAAUCUUGUAGACAAGAUCGCUGCACCCGAGUUCAAAAAUAGUGCUGCGGUUUCCACUGAACUCGG